UGAAACAACUAAUCGAUUUAAUCGAUUAUAAUCGAUUAUUAAAAUAGUUAACAACUUUUUUAGUCAUCGAUUAGUUGUUUAAUAAUCAUAUUUUACCGCAUAAAGUCUAUUUUUUACCACAAUCUGACAUUGGUUACAAUCUGUUAAAUUUGCCGCCAGUGUGUGGCAGUAAUGAGCCACUGAUCUACCAGUGGGGCCGUAGAAGAAGAAAUUAGCCAAUAAGUGCCCUCGGUUUUCAUGACGCGCAUCUUGCUGUGAGAGAUGGCGGAUCAACAACAAAUACGGAAGAAAAAUAGAAGCGACAAAACAAGAGAAACCCCGGACAAAAACCUCACGAGUAUGGGAGCACUUCACUAGAUGCCUUGAAAAGACCGGUGACCUACAAAAUAUGCAAAAACCAUGGCACGACGGAAGCACGACGUCCCUAAGUGAACAUUUGAGACGAAAACGUGGGGGCUGAUGCAGCAGAGGAAUGUCCGAAAAAAACAAGCAACGAUGGACAACUACAUGGGGAACAAGACACUCACCCCCAGCAAUGCAUACCACUUACAAACUCUAUUCCAGAUUCUACAUUAUUUUUUAUGGAAUUUACCUCUUAUAUUUUGAUGCCAAAAAAUUAUUCUGGACUGAUAUUUUGCACUGUUUAGCUCAUUUUACACUGCUGACUGUGGUCAUGUGCAAUAAAAUAGAUUGCAGUCAACUGCACAA